rnacentral:lncRNA from 1 species
UGCUAACCCAGUGUCGCACAGGAUGGGUUCAGAGAGGAGAAACCGUGCCCCAGCGCGGGGCAGAGAGGAGGUGGCGCCCCUCAGAGGGAGCCCUUGGUCUGCCCACACAGCUGGCGAUUUCAUGCAAAGAGGCUGGAAGCAAAUGUGAAGGAAAUGUGAAGGAAAUAAAAAACAAAACAAAGCAAAGUAAUGAACGUGCCCACAGUCCUGAGGGAUCGCCAUCUAUUUUCAAACAAGUCUGCAAAUCAUUGAAGGACACAAAGGUGGCCGUAGAACAGCUACGAUGCUUCACCCAGACCAGUGCACAUCACAUCAGAGAGGAAGACACGUGUGAUUCAUUUUGUUAA